rnacentral:tRNA from 1 species
GCGGGAGUGGCGAAAUUGGUAGACGCACCAGAUUUAGGUUCUGACGCCGCAUGGUAUGCGAGUUCAAAUCUCGCCUCCCGCA